rnacentral:miRNA from 1 species
AUUUUUUAGUAUAUAAGCUUGUCUCAAAUAUUGCAUGGGACAUAUUUAUGCUAAAAAACAAAAAGAUUCAUUUUUUAUGGAAAAGUCACAUUUAAUUGGGUGUUUUGUAUU